rnacentral:lncRNA from 1 species
GGUAGGUAGGGUUGCGAGCGAACAGAUUUGCACAGAAGUGCGUCAAGCCACCCCAGCAGGGUGGAUGUUCAGGGACACAGCUCUGAGCGAGACCUGCAGGCCGAGACACACGAGAACCUUCAAAGCAUAGGCUUUUAUACGAGUGACACCCCGGCCGACCUACUUGAACGGACACUUCUGUUUCUGUUCUUUCGCACCCUGCGCCUUAAAAGGGUCGCAAAACAUCAAAUCAGACGGAGUCCCGCUCUGUCACGCAGGCUGCCAGGCUGGCGUACAGUGGCGCAAUCUCAGCUCACUGCAACCUCCACCUCCUGGGUUCAAGCGAUUUUCUUGCCUCUGCCUCCUGAGUAGCUGGGAUUACUGGCACACACCACCAAUGCACAGUUGCAGGAAUUUAGCCAAUUCAGAGAUCUUGUUCUCCAUAAUUUGGAAUUUUCCUUCGGAUUUGAUCAAGUUGGAUAGAGUUGGUCAAACCCAAUGGGAAAAAGAUGAAAACAACAAGAAACAGAAACAAACAACAACAGCAACAACAACAAAAACAGUUAAGUGAAACAAACAAACAAUCACACAAUUUAUGUGGUCACUGAGUGCUCUAAUAGUAAGGAGAAAUUAAGACCAGCUGGCUGUUAGUCUUAACUCUAGCCAAGACAAAAC